UUAUAUCCUUGAAGGGCAUUAGAUAUAAUCUAUGAAGGAAUGAAAGGUAUGAGUGUUUUGCAGAUUAUCUCCUGACCUUAGCUUCCCCGAAGUACCCCUUUUACAAGUCUGUGGCUUAUGCUCUUUUGCGCAUGGAGGUCAGAUCUCUAUUUUGGGAACUGACAACAGUAACAGUCAGCUUGGCUGUGUUCAUACUCUCGAGUGUAUAUAAGCAGCCACAAAAUUUGGCUUCUUAGUGUAAAAUGACACCUGAUAUGGAACUAUCCCCUAAGGAGGUGUCAAACACAAAAAUUCAACGGAAGCUAGGAAGCAUGAGUCCAGCUGAAUGUACACACUGAGCAAGACUUUUUCAAAUGUAGUAAAAGGAACUAAUACAAGUGAAUUCUGCAAUGAAUUUAAUUAGUCUACCAUAUGUUUUAUUAGAAGAAUGUCAUCUGGGGCUUGGUUGGUGGAGAGAAAGUUUUCUAGAGGCCAUGUCAAAAAAAUUAUAAAAAUAUAUAAAAGAAGUUCUAAUAUUUAUUUGGUGUUUGUGAGGAUCCAGACGCUAUGUUAAAUAUUUUUCAAGCCUCAUCUCAUAGGUUCAUAAUUAAAUCCUUUAAGAAAGCACUACUAUGAUCUCCAUUUACCACAAAGGAAACAAAUUCAGAAAGGCCAACUAACCAAGUGUUAAUAUUUAUUUUCCACACUAGAGGACAGUGCUUGAAAGAGUAACAGACCUUACCUCCAAGAUUAGGCAGCACCAAGAAUGGAACAAUCACCCCAUUGUUAGCUCCGCUAACCCACGUGCAAAGCACAUAAAGAUUUUAUUUCUUUGGCAGAAAAAAAGAGAGAAAUAAAUAUGCCUGUUCUAACAUGAAGCAGAAAUCAGUGAUGAUGCUGUCUUAACUUGCUGAGCACAGGGAAAGAGAAAUGCCAAUACAAUUUACUAAUCAGAAUUGCCAAAGAAUGAAUGGAAGAAGGCAUCCUUAUAAAUGCAGACUUGAUAUCCUGGUGGCCAUAUUCCAAAACCACAUGAUAAACAAGAAAUAUCUUCCUGUAGCACUGUUUUUGCUAAAUGGUGAGUAAUUUAAAAUAUUUAUUACUAAAGAACUAGAGUGCAAAAUCUGCAUACAUUUGUAAGAUAAAUCAUGAACCUAAGAUAUUCUGUACUUGUGACAGGUAACUUCAGAUCCCAGGGCUGCUUU
rnacentral:lncRNA from 13 species